rnacentral:rRNA from 1 species
GACGAACGCUGGCGGCGUGGAUUAGGCAUGCAAGUCGAACGGUAUCAUCCUUUCGGGGGUGAGAGAGUGGCGAACUGGUGAGUAACACGUAGGUUAUCUACCCUCAAGACGGGGACAACCCAGGGAAACUUGGGCUAAUACCGGAUGUGAGCAACUUUUUAGUUGUUUGAAAGGUGGCGUAAGCUGUCGCUUGGGGAUGAGCCUGCGUCCUAUUAGUUAGUUGGUGAGGUAACGGCUCACCUAGGCAAUGAUAGGUAGGCGGCCUUAACGGGUGUCGCCCACACUGGGAUUGAGAUACGGCCCAGACUCCUACGGGAGGCAGCAGUCGAGAAUAGUCUACAAUGGUCGGAAGACUGAUAGUGCGACGCCGCGUGAACGAUGAAUCCCUUCGGGGUGUAAAGUUCUUUUAUAUGUGAGCAGUGCUUCUUAUAUUAACAGUAUGGGGAGAGAGAUAUUAGCAUAUGAAUAAGCAACGGCUAACUCCGUGCCAGCAGCCGCGGUAAGCU